UGAGUGGCGGACGGGUGAGUAACGCGUGGGCAACCUGGCCUGGUACACGGGGGAUAACACUUAGAAAUAGGUGCUAAUACCGCAUAACGGGAGAAGCCGCAUGGCGUUUUUCCUGAAAACUCCGGUGGUACAGGAUGGGCCCGCGUCUGAUUAGCCAGUUGGCAGGGUAACGGCCUACCAAAGCGACGAUCAGUAGCCGGCCUGAGAGGGCGGACGGCCACACUGGGACUGAGACACGGCCCAGACUCCUACGGGAGGCAGCAG
rnacentral:rRNA from 1 species